CCUACGGGGGGCUGCAGUGGGGAAUAUUGGACAAUGGGCGAAAGCCUGAUCCAGCAAUGCCGCGUGAGUGAUGAAGGCCUUAGGGUUGUAAAGCUCUUUUACCCGAGAUGAUAAUGACAGUAUCGGGAGAAUAAGCUCCGGCUAACUCCGUGCCAGCAGCCGCGGUAAUACGGAGGGAGCUAGCGUUGUUCGGAAUUACUGGGCGUAAAGCGCACGUAGGCGGCUUUUUAAGUCAGGGGUGAAAUCCCGGGGCUCAACCCCGGAACUGCCCUUGAAACUGGGAAGCUAGAAUCUUGGAGAGGCGAGUGGAAUUCCGAGUGUAGAGGUGAAAUUCGUAGAUAUUCGGAAGAACACCAGUGGCGAAGGCGACUCGCUGGACAAGUAUUGACGCUGAGGUGCGAAAGCGUGGGGAGCAAACAGGAUUAGAUACCCCGGUAGUC
rnacentral:rRNA from 1 species